rnacentral:rRNA from 1 species
UGAGCUGCAAAUGAGCGAUUGUAGCCGCGGAUAUCCGAAUGAGGGAACUCACCGUAAGUAAUGUUACGGUAUUGCAUGAUGAAUCAAUAGUCAUGCAAGGGGAACCCGGGGAACUGAAACAUCUAAGUACCCGGAGGAAAAGAAAGAAAAAUCGAUUCCGAAAGUAGUGGCGAGCGAAAUCGGAAGAGCCCAAACUUAAUAUAGAAAUAUAUUAAGGGUUUAGGUACGGCAAAAAGCAGACGGAAGUUAGCGGAACGGUUUGGAAAGACCGAUCGAAGAGGGUAACAAUCCCGUACGCGAAAACAGAAGAAAGCGAGCCGCAACCGGAGUACGUCGGGACACGAGGAAUCCUGACGGAAGAAAGGAGGACCAUCUCCGAAGGCUAAAUACGACCAUGUGACCGAUAGAGUAUAGUACCGUGAGGGAAAGGUGAAAAGCACCCCGGGAGGGGAGUGAAAGAGAACCUGAAACCCUAUGCUUACAAGCAGACACAGCAACCGCAAGGGAGUGGUGUCGUACUUUUUGUAGAACGGGCCGGCGAGUUACGAUGUUAUGCGAGAUUAAGCGGUAAAGCCGCGAAGUCGAAGCGAAAGCGAGUCUGAAGAGGGCGAAUAAAGUAUAAUGUCGUAGACCCGAAACCGGAUGACCUAACCAUGAACAGGUUGAAGCAGCGGUAAAACGCUGUGGAGGACCGAACACACGCCUGUUGAAAUAGUCGGUGAUGACUUGUGGUUAGCGGAGAAAUUCCAAUCGAACCCGGAUAUAGCUGGUUCUCCUCGAAAUAGCUUUAGGGCUAGCCUGUCGCAAGAAUACCGAAGGUAGAGCACUGUAUGGUCUAGGGGGUUUCACGACCUACCGAAACUUAACAAACUUCGAAUGACGGAUAUUUGAUGCGAUGGAGUCAGACGGCGACAGAUAAGUGCCGUCGUCAAAAGGGAAACAGCCCAGAUCCACAGCUAAGGUCCCAAAGUACAGGUUAAGUGGUAAACGAUGUGUCAUUGCAUAAACAACCAGGAUGUUGGCUUAGAAGCAGCCACACAUUCAAAGAGUGCGUAAUAGCUCACUGGUCGAGUGAUGAUGCGCGGAAGAUUACCGGGGCUAAAACCUGACACCGAAGCUUGGGGAUAUGAGUAAUCAUAUCGGUAGAGGAGCAAUGUAUAGAGGUUGAAGUUAGAUCGAAAGAUUUAAUGGACGAAAUACAAGAGAGAAUGCCGGCAUAAGUAGCGAGAGAGAGGCGAGAAACCUCUCCGUCGAGAGUCUGAGGUUUCCUGGGGAAGGUUCGUCCGCCCAGGGUUAGUCGGGGCCUAAGUCGAGGUCGAAAGGCGUAGAUGAUGGACAACCGGUGCAAAUUCCGGUACUACCGAAAUUCGUUUAAAUGAAGCAGUGACACAGGAAGAUAGUCAGACCGAGCGGAUGGAAAAGCUCGGCCAAGGCGAGACGAGGGCAUAGAGUGAAGUACCUAUGUAGAAAUCGGAGCGCUGAUGGGGACGUGAAGAAAAGUAAAUAAGCUGACGAAUCUACACUGGCGAGAAAAGCUGCUAAAUAAGGAUUAAGGUACCCGUACCGCAAACCGACACAGGUAGACGCGAAGAAAAUUCAAAGACGAACGGGAGAACCCUUGUUAAGGAACUCGGCAAAAUGACCCCGUAACUUCGGGAUAAGGGGUGCCUGCGAGAGCAGGCCGCAGAGAAUAGUCACAAGCGACUGUUUAGCAAAAACACAGGUAUCUGCGAAAGCGAGAGCUGACGUAUAGGUGCUGACGCCUGCCCGGUGCUGGAAGGUUAAGGGGAAGUGUUAGGGGAAACCCGAAGCAGAGAACCGAAGCCCCAGUAAACGGCGGCCGUAACUAUAACGGUCCUAAGGUAGCGAAAUUCCUUGUCGGGUAAGUUCCGACCCGC